AAGAAAGGACUAAAAAGUAUAAUAGGCGCUUAAAGCCUAGGCAUUAAUUCUGCCACCUUAAA
rnacentral:tRNA from 1 species